rnacentral:rRNA from 1 species
UCGAACGAUGAAGCCCAGCUUGCUGGGUGGAUUAGUGGCGAACGGGUGAGUAACACGUGAGUAACCUGCCCUUAACUCUGGGAUAAGCCUGGGAAACUGGGUCUAAUACCGGAUAGGAGCGYCYACCGCAUGGUGGGUGUUGGAAAGAUUUAUCGGUUUUGGAUGGACUCGCGGCCUAUCAGCUUGUUGGUGAGGUAAUGGCUCACCAAGGCGACGACGGGUAGCCGGCCUGAGAGGGUGACCGGCCACACUGGGACUGAGACACGGCCCAGACUCCUACGGGAGGCAGCAGUGGGGAAUAUUGCACAAUGGGCGMAAGCCUGAUGCAGCGACGCCGCGUGAGGGAUGACGGCCUUCGGGUUGUAAACCUCUUUCAGUAGGGAAGAAGCGAAAGUGACGGUACCUGCAGAAGAAGCACCGGCUAACUACGUGCCAGCAGCCGCGGUAAUACGUAGGGUGCGAGCGUUAUCCGGAAUUAUUGGGCGUAAAGAGCUCGUAGGCGGUUUGUCGCGUCUGUCGUGAAAGUCCGGGGCUUAACCCCGGAUCUGCGGUGGGUACGGGCAGACUAGAGUGCAGUAGGGGAGACUGGAAUUCCUGGUGUAGCGGUGGAAUGCGCAGAUAUCAGGAGGAACACCGAUGGCGAAGGCAGGUCUCUGGGCUGUAACUGACGCUGAGGAGCGAAAGCAUGGGGAGCGAACAGGAUUAGAUACCCUGGUAGUCCAUGCCGUAAACGUUGGGCACUAGGUGUGGGGACCAUUCCACGGUUUCCGCGCCGCAGCUAACGCAUUAAGUGCCCCGCCUGGGGAGUACGGCCGCAAGGCUAAAACUCAAAGGAAUUGACGGGGGCCCGCACAAGCGGCGGAGCAUGCGGAUUAAUUCGAUGCAACGCGAAGAACCUUACCAAGGCUUGACAUGUUCUCGAUCGCCGUAGAGAUACGGUUUCCCCUUUGGGGCGGGUUCACAGGUGGUGCAUGGUUGUCGUCAGCUCGUGUCGUGAGAUGUUGGGUUAAGUCCCGCAACGAGCGCAACCCUCGUUCCAUGUUGCCAGCACGUAAUGGUGGGGACUCAUGGGAGACUGCCGGGGUCAACUCGGAGGAAGGUGAGGACGACGUCAAAUCAUCAUGCCCCUUAUGUCUUGGGCUUCACGCAUGCUACAAUGGCCGGUACAAUGGGUUGCGAUACUGUGAGGUGGAGCUAAUCCCAAAAAGCCGGUCUCAGUUCGGAUUGGGGUCUGCAACUCGACCCCAUGAAGUCGKAGUCGCUAGUAAUCGCAGAUCA